rnacentral:tRNA from 1 species
CGGUAGCUCAGCUGGAUAGAGCACCAGACUACGAAUCUGGGGGUCGGGGGUUCGAAUCCUCCCCG